rnacentral:rRNA from 1 species
GGAACUAGGCAAAAUGGUGCCGUAACUUCGGGAGAAGGCACGCUGACACGUAGGUGAAGUGAUUUACUCACGGAGCUGAAGUCAGUCGAAGAUACCAGCUGGCUGCAACUGUUUAUUAAAAACACAGCACUGUGCAAACACGAAAGUGGACGUAUACGGUGUGACGCCUGCCCGGUGCCGGAAGGUUAAUUGAUGGGGUCAGCGCAAGCGAAGCUCCUGAUCGAAGCCCCGGUAAACGGCGGCCGUAACUAUAACGGUCCUAAGGUAGCGAAAUUCCUUGUCGGGUAAGUUCCGACCUGCACGAAUGGCGUAAUGAUGGCCAGGCUGUCUCCACCCGAGACUCAGUGAAAUUGAACUCGCUGUGAAGAUGCAGUGUACCCGCGGCAAGACGGAAAGACCCCGUGAACCUUUACUAUAGCUUGACACUGAACAUUGAGCCUUGAUGUGUAGGAUAGGUGGGAGGCUUUGAAGUGUGGACGCCAGUCUGCAUGGAGCCGACCUUGAAAUACCACCCUUUAAUGUUUGAUGUUCUAACGUGGACCCGUUACCCGGGUUGCGGACAGUGUCUGGUGGGUAGUUUGACUGGGGCGGUCUCCUCCUAAAGAGUAACGGAGGAGCACGAAGGUUGGCUAAUCCUGGUCGGACAUCAGGAGGUUAGUGCAAUGGCAUAAGCCAGCUUGACUGCGAGCGUGACGGCGCGAGCAGGUGCGAAAGCAGGUCAUAGUGAUCCGGUGGUUCUGAAUGGAAGGGCCAUCGCUCAACGGAUAAAAGGUACUCCGGGGAUAACAGGCUGAUACCGCCCAAGAGUUCAUAUCGACGGCGGUGUUUGGCACCUCGAUGUCGGCUCAUCACAUCCUGGGGCUGAAGUAGGUCCCAAGGGUAUGGCUGUUCGCCAUUUAAAGUGGUACGCGAGCUGGGUUUAGAACGUCGUGAGACAGUUCGGUCCCUAUCUGCCGUGGGCGCUGGAGAACUGAGGGGGGCUGCUCCUAGUACGAGAGGACCGGAGUGGACGCAUCACUGGUGUUCGGGUUGUCAUGCCAAUGGCACUGCCCGGUAGCUAAAUGCGGAAGAGAUAAGUGCUGAAAGCAUCUAAGCACGAAACUUGCCCCGAGAUGAGUUCUCCCUGAGACUUUAGGUCUCCUGAAGGAACGUUGAAGACGACGACGUUGAUAGGCCGGGUGUGUAAGCGCAGCGAUGCGUUGAGCUAACCGGUACUAAUGAACCGUGAGGCUUAACCUU